UAGGAUUUUGCCCAACUCAAUUAUUUGAUAAAUUUUACUGCUUAUUAAAAUAUUUUUACUGCUUAUUAAAUUAUUUUUUAUUGUAAAAACAAACAAUAUACUACUUAUAUUCAGAUAUUUAAAAAAGAAAAAUAAACAUGUCAUUCAGAUUUUCGUAUUCAGACUUUAAAAAAAUUUAGAUCCAUUUAGAUUUCAGACAAAAAAACAAACGUUACCUAACUCUCAUAAAGCUUUUAUAGAGGCUCAAACAUUUACUCUCAUAAAUGUAAGUGCAAGUCUCUUCCACUAGAUUAAAGGCUAAUUGGUUUAAUAAAUUCUAUUUAAAAAAAUUAUACCAGGCAAAUUCUAGAAUGGUUCUGGAGGCAAAACUCGACUAUUAAUUGAAUCAUUAAACACGGAGCAUCCACAUCAGGCUAGUUGCAUGUGUGUUAAAUUUUUGUCUGUGUAAGUUGCAAUGAAACGUAACUCUGAUAUCUUUUAGAAUUUACAUACAUACACGUGUGUGUGUGUGUGUGUGUGUGUAAUUUACAAUAUUUUUUAAUAUCAAAUGAAGAAAAAAUAUUGACAAUUAAUCAAUUAAAUUAUUUUCUAGAAUAAGCAUGGAGCCACCACAAGCACUUAUAUAAAUUUAUUUAAUUAGAUAUCACUGGUUGGAGAAAAAAUAUAUAUCAAAUAAUAUCAAAAAUUUUGUGGCUGUAUCAAUAUUUGAAAAAAAAAAAUCUGUCUAAUGAUUUUAUUGAGUAAAUGAAUUUAGUUAGUGCUUUGAUGGGUUCAAAUUGUCUUGACCAUUACUUUAUUAGUUAUCAUUUAAAUUAAAUUAGUCCCAUAUAAGUAUACAUACAUAUUGAUUUUUAAAUAUUAUUUAAUAAAAUUUUUAAAUUUUAUCAAAACAUAACACAAGAUUAUAUACAAUAAAGAUCUUUCUAAGUUAUAUUAGAUGUAAGUAUACGAGUAAGUAAAAUUUAUUCAUUGAUUCACUUGACCUCAUUUAACUUUUUUCUAAUAAUUUUCAUACUAAAAAGACCGAUAGUAAGUUUCAAUAAUUGUACUUUAAGAAAAUUCGAUACCAUAAUUCAGAAAACAUGCGUAAAAUGAUUUGUCGGCAAAUGGGAACUGAUUCAUUCGGGAACCAUAUAUGUCGUUCGGGGGACAGGAAAAUCUCCGUAAUUUAUUAACGAAUGCUUGAUUGACAGCCAACAAUCAAUUAAACCCCAUGGUCUUUAAGUAGACCUUCAGUUUCAGAGUAGAGUGGUAGCUCCAGGCAAUCGAUUAAAGCUAUCAGCCCUACUACUUCGUCAAUACACCGCAGCCACCGAGGGGUUGCUCUAUGGCAAUUGCCAAUUGUCCUUACUCUUAGGCGGACGAAGCGUUUCCGGUUCAAACUUUAAAACACACCUGCUAAUCUGAGUUAUUAUUUAGUAAGUGAUUUUUUCUUUCAAUAAAAUAAGAAAUAAAUU
rnacentral:lncRNA from 1 species